AUGAGUACUUCUAAGGAGAUUAUAAGGGUGGCAACACCAAGGAAAACUGGGCUCCCCACACUUAGUAAAAUCAUCUGUGUUCCCGAUAAGCCUAGCUAUGGGCAGCCUCUGACUCUCUGCUGCGAGGUGACUGGCUGUAAGCGUGAUGACGUAACGGUGGACUGGCUAGAGGAUAAUAAGCUGCUGGGCAAACACCGGAGAACAACCGCACAAGUCACUGAGGAGAAGGAUACAAUACACUGUACAAUGACUAUAACUCCCACAGCUCAGGACUCCAGGAAGGUCUACAUUUGCAGUGUGAAACACAAGGAUUUUGCAGAAGCAGUCAGGAACGAGAUCCAUGUAACUCUCCCAGAUAUUCCACCCUCAUUAUCGGAUAUUAUUGUCCAACCGGCGAAGCCUGAAGCGGGGAAGGAAGCCUCACUUACAACAACGAUAUCUGGCUUCUCACCAAAAGACAUUCUAGUGCGAUGGUAUAAAGGAUUUAGCACGUUUCCCAAUAGCGCUGUGACAUCAUCAGAUCUGCGGAUUGGGGAAGACAGUUUAUACACUUGUUCUAGCACCCUGAGAUUUACUCCUGAGCUAAGUGACCGUAACACGUCCAUCCGGUGCGAGGUGACACAUGCGGCCACUAAGACCGUCCGACAGAUACAAUAUGAUCUGUGUCUCACAGGAGUCCCUGACGCUGUAGCUGGAAGCAGAAACUCAUCACAGAGACCAAGAGCUGAAAGGAAACCCUUUAAAAUAAGAGGAAUUGAGUGCCUGACGGACAGCCCCCGAGUGGGCGAUGAUGUCACACUUAGAUGUAACGUUGAUGGAUGUAACGCGGAUGACUGUGAGUUCUCCUGGUAUAACGGAGUAUUUCCUAUUGAGGGUAAUACAGAAAACGGAGACCUGGAGGACGGUUCCGGCAGCUUCUCCACAGUCAUCUUCACAGCGGAGGAAUCGGACAGGAGUUGUACAAUCAGGUGUGAGGCCUGUUAUAACUAUCAGACAAUCGAGGAAACUUUCACUCUGAGACUGGGGUAACAGGACACGAUCUGAUGGGAGAUAUCUUUUUCUAUACAAUGGUGGAAUCUUCUCACAGAAUAAAGAUAGAGAUUGUGAAUCAUAUAAUUGGGUAAUCCCAGUUACACAUUUCAUCUGAGGCUCUACAACAAAACCUCAACAAUGUUGAACAUUGAACAGACCAUAUAGAAUGUUCUACUUCAGUUGUAUAAAGAACACAGCAGUAUCAGGAUAAAAUAUCAGUUUAGGGGAUAUUUCAUCAGCAGAAGAAUACACAUCUGUGGCGCUUCUCAAUACUACUGACAUCUUAUCUGUGUCUGAGACUUUGGGGCUAAUUCAGCAAGGAUCAGUAAGUAAGGGAGGGGGGCGGCCGGCGUUGGGUACGGAUUGCAUACUUUGUGAGAUGAGGGGAAAAUAUCUGCUCAGAAUAUUGGGUGACCCUAGAUUAGAAUUUAUGAAUUUACAGACACGAUGAGCGGUGCUACUUGGAUGCAUGGACAGUAGCAAACAUUUUCUCCACUACAUCUGACAUCAGUGGUGGGUCCAACUCUAAAUCGGCACCAAAAUGUGACAAAUGCCAAAUGGGGAAAUACUCCCGGUAAUAUCAUGUAUAUGUAAGCAAGGCUCAGCAGCACUUUGUGUGUAAAUAACCACAAAAACAUACAUAUAAUAACAUUUUUAUAUAUUAAUGUACUGUUAGGGUGGGUAGCCGUUGCUUAACUUUGGGGAAAUGUAGACGGUUGACAGUGUACUCUCUGUUUCAGGCUGCCUAUCUCUAUCCAGGUGCUAUAAAGGCUGAAUUUGUAGGUGUCUGGGUUAUAGCUCACAGCACAAUUGGUACGUGACAGGUUAUAUGCCUUUCUGCCUUCCAUCUUGUGUCAGUGAAAGCUCCUAUUUUGCUAGUAGCUGAACCUUCGCUGCUGACUUGGUUUGUCCUGUUUAUUCUCCUGUCCCUGAUCUUUGCCUGCUCCUGGAUUAUGUGUUUGUUUGCCACCAGCCCUGACCCAGCACUGUCUAUAGUCUUUCAGCUGCUAGCCCUGACCCGGCAUUGUCUAACAUUACAGACUCUCUACUACCAUCUGAGUCUUAUCUUCUGCCAGUAUCAGUCUUGAGUCCAGUUAAUACUACAGUAUCCAAUACAUUUCGUUUUUCAGCCUUCUCUAAACCAAAACCUUGGGUGGAGAAGCUUUUAUUAAUUGGAGCUGAAAACUCAGAGGCAUCCGAGCACCGUUAAGAAUGUAUGUAUUCUUUUUCUAUCUGUUUAUUUGUAUUGGCAAACAGUUGGCAAAGAGAAAGACAAGUUGCCACCCAGAAAAGAAGAUGGAUGCCUACUGGAGCCAUUUGGAACUCUUUCACUACUGCGUAUACAGAUGCAGCCUAUACGCAAUAACGUAUUUCCCUAUAGUUUGUAAACUUACGAGCAGGGUCUUCCUACCUCUAUGACUGUUUGUUAUUACCCAGUUUUGUUUUAUCAUUGUGUCCAGUUGUAAAGUGGAACAUAAUUUGCUGCACUAUAUAAGAAACUGUUAAUAAAUAAUAAAUAACGAGGAACACCAACUGCUCGGGGAGACUGUUGGUUACGCAGACUAGACAAGGCUGUAGCGGUGAAGGCACCAUGUUAUUGUUUUGUUUCCAAAACUAAUUUUUAAUAAAGCAUUGCAUCAAGUACAAUAGUCAUCAAAUAAGUUCACGUUUACAAUAACACACGAUAUCAAAUAUAGACAAUAUUGUUAUGUCCAAAUAAUCCUUCCCAUGGGAAUUCUUAAAAGGCAUUACGAGUCAAGCUCAGGUCCACACAUCAAUGGAGUCAAUAUAACAGUAUGGAGGAGUCAUCACAGCAAAGGACACCAUAAAGUAUGAACAUCCUAAAUCUCCAAUAAAAGUCUGGAUUCAUACCAUUCCGUAUUCUGAACAGAUCUUCUAAUCCAUUCCUGAAAGUCCACUGAUAAAGUUGCUAUAUAACUUUCCCAGGACUCAAAGAAUUUGGAGACUAGUUUAUCCUUUUCUAAGGUAAUUUCCAACCAGUCCAAUUGGAAAAUGAUGGUGAAGUUUCCUCUUGGAAAGGGUCAGAGGAGGUGGGGAAUGGAGAAUCCAUGUUUGUAAAAUGGAUUUACGGCAGCUGCGCUGAUUGCCAGCCGUAAUUUUCUGAACCCCGUGGAGACCCCAAAGAUCGCCCAUUCCGCAGUAAAUGGUAAAUAAUUCACGAGGUUGUCUAUUGAGUAUUUCCUGACCUGCAACCAGAAAUGUCUUAUCAAGGACACUCCCAAAGCUAUGGAAUAGAUCCACCACCGGUUGACGACAUUCAUGUGAAGCGGACGUACCCGCAAGGAAUUGCCUGUGAGGGAGUAGUACGCUCUAUGAAAUAUGUUGAAAAACAAUUCUUGAUACUGUGCAGAUGGGAGUAAACAACAUGAGGUUAUUAAAUUUUUUAGUAACACAUGGAAAUCCAAUUGGAAAGUCAGUCAUACAUUGCAAUACUGCUGAGUGGUAGUAUGAUCCAUUGGUGCCCUCAAAAGGAGAUAAUGCACAGAUAUCGCUUUUUUAGCUGACGGCGACCCCAACAGAGCGUUCAAAGGACUCGACCAGUCUUCCUCAGAGAAAUGUGCAAUUACUGAGCUUGCAUAAUGCUGCAUCUGAAAGUACGCCAAUGUAUGCCUCUGAAGUGUUGGGAAAAGUUGUGUAGCCUGAACAAAUGUCCUAGGUUCUUUAGCUGAGCUGUCUACCACAUCACCAAUAAUCUAACCCCUGCCUUCCAGGGUGGUGUAACUGGAAAGGUGGCUUCCCCGUGCUGAAAUGCCUCGUUCCCCAAGAAUGUUCAAAAGAGUAUUUGUGAGCAGUGCUAUUUUUCAGAAGGAACCAAGUUCCUGAACCUGUCCUGGGCCAAAAUGUAUUUUCCAUAAAUAAGUUUUAUUUUAAAACUCAUUUUGAGUGCCUUAUUUUCUAAAGUAUAAUCUACUCUAUCUAGCUAUCUAUCUCUAUCUACAGUAUCUAUCUGACUAUCUAUCUAUCCAUCUAUGUAAUCACUAUAUACAACACACACGCAUACUGAUAUGGAGACACAAUUUUUUAAUAGCUCCCUCCCAGACCCGUAGUUCCUGAACCUAUUUUUCCAGAAAAAUAGUGCCGAUUGCGAGCGUUCAAAUUAGCGGUACGUUGUAGCUUAUGCCAGAGUUUAUAUACCGACCACAGUAAGGGGUUAUCCUUUCACACCUGAUCUGUUUCGGCCUCGCUCUUACAAAGGAAAGUGAUUCAAUUGCCAUCCAAGAGGAAUUGUUGUUCCAAUAAUGUAUUGGCGGAUGUUUCGCUAGAGGAAGCCAAUCCCGGAGAUAUCCUAAUAAGGCCGCAUAACUAUAUAAGUGGAUUUUGUGUGAAAUGAAUGCCCCCAUUUACCUUGAAUUGCCGUAAUUUUAGCAGUGCUGUUUCUGGCUGUUUACCUUUCCAUAUGAAGCAACGGAAUAUUUUGGUCACAUCAGAUUGUCUAAUUAACAGUGGUAGGGAUUGUAGUAAAUAUAAGAGACAGGGAAAAGUAGACUUUUUAAUCAAACUGGCCCUACCGAGAUAGGAUAGUAACACAUGGUUCCAGCCAUCUAGUUCAGUUGAGAUAGCUGCGACUGCUUCCCCAAUAUUCAUUUUAUAUCAUUUAGAGAGACAUUUUGGAAGUUCGAUGCCGAGAUAAAUACUAUCCGAUUUUGCCCAUGUCAAGGUGCCAUGUUUUAUACGUACAUGAUCGUACAUUAUACACACCCCGAAAACAGCCAUGACACACCUACAAUUUUGCAGCCACUCCCCGUUAUCACCCCCAAACGAUCACGUCCUGUCAAUCACUCUGCAAUGACAUCUUCAGGGCAAUCAUAAACAAAGGCAUCUUGACACGUGCACAGUGCGAUUGUGGCACAUGCUCAGUCUGCUGAUAAUUGCUUCGUUGUACAAUCAUGAAUUAGGCCAAAACAUUGACCAAAACAGAGCAUAUGACAUGCAUAUAAAUUAUAAAUAGACAUCAUAGCCAGAGCCGGCCCUAACCAAUAUGAGGCAAGAUUAGACACAGGUGCCCCCAAGCACCACCGCUAGUUCUGCCUCUGACCCUGCACCCUUUUCCCAGCACCAUCAUCCCUUACCAAUAGCAGUCCUCAUUUUAGUGCUCCUACCCACUAUAUUUUAAAUAGGAACACUGUGCACAUUUGGCGCACAGCCCAAAAGUGGGUGUGUCAUUGCUGGGAAGGGGCAUGGCCGCACAAUAGUACCCCCAAUUCAAAUUACGCCACACAGUGCUGCAACUUUAUUCACAUUUUAUCAUGAGAUAGUGUCCCUUAUUCAUGUUACAUCACACAGAAGUACCACUUUACCUUAUAUACGUUACUCCUCACAGUAGUGCCCCUUAUUCACAUUACACCACACUGAAUUGCUCCUUAUUCACAUUACACCACACCAUAUUGCUCUUAAUUCACAUUAGACCACACAGUAGUGCCCUUUCUAUACGUUAUGCCACACAAUAGAGCACCUUAUACACAUAAUACCACACAGUAAUGCCUCUUACACAUAUGACAUUCAUUAUUAAUGUCAUUAUAAACAUAAUGCGCCUAAAAUAUUAUGCCAACCUUUAUUAAUGCUCUUAUACACAUAAUGUCCCUUACACAUUUGCCGCACAUUAUUAAUGCCAUUGUACACGUAAGUACACACAUAAUGUCCCUUACACAUAUGCCGCACAUUAUUAAUGCCUUUAUACAUAUAUAAUUACACACAUAACUUUCCUUACACAUAUGCCGCACAUUAUUAAUGCAUUUAUACACAUGACACACAUAAAGCCCCUUACACAUAUGCUGAACACUACUGCACAACCGACCCACCCGCACACAGCACUCACAUGGUUGCUAACACUGUGACCUCUGCCUCUGCUUGGAUACAGGUAUGUCCUCAUAUAUCUUGCCUCAAUACACCAUGCAGCAGGAGAUGCCUGGAGUGAGUCAGCUGGCAACUCAAGGCCAGCUCUGCUAACACCGGGCGCCUUGUUUUGAUAAAAAUGCAUCUUAUUUGUAUUACUAUGUAGUUGGGAUGCACAAGCAGUUUCUGCUGAUUAAAAUGAUAUGCGGCUUGCCUAUAUUCUGUGUGUGACUGCAGCUGUAUCUGCAUAUGAAAUGCUACGUUACACUCAUUUCCAGGAA